GUAGUCAUAUGCUUGUCCCAAAGAUUAAGCCAUGCAUGUCUAAGUAUAAGCAAUCUAUACAGUGAAACUGCGAAUGGCUCAUUAAAUCAGUUAUCGUUUAUUUGAUAGUACCUUACUACUUGGAUAACCGUGGUAAUUCUAGAGCUAAUACAUGCUAAAAAUCCUGACCUCUGGAAGGGAUGUAUUUAUUAGAUAAAAAACCAAUGCCUUCGGGCUCCUUGGUGAUUCAUGAUAACUUUACGAAUCGCAUGGCCUUGUGCCGGCGAUGGUUCAUUCAAAUUUCUGCCCUAUCAACUUUCGAUGGUAGGAUAGUGGCCUACCAUGGUUUCAACGGGUAACGGGGAAUG
rnacentral:rRNA from 1 species